rnacentral:rRNA from 1 species
CCUACGGUGUGCUGCAGUGGGGGAUAUUGCACAAUGGGGGGAACCCUGAUGCAGCGACGCCGCGUGGGUGAAGAAGCGCCUCGGCGCGUAAAGCCCUGUCAGCAGGGAAGAAAAUGACGGUACCUGAAGAAGAAGCCCCGGCUAACUACGUGCCAGCAGCCGCGGUAAUACGUAGGGGGCAAGCGUUAUCCGGAUUUACUGGGUGUAAAGGGGGCGCAGACGGCGAUGCAAGCCAGGAGUGAAAGCCCGGGGCCCAACCCCGGGACUGCUCUUGGAACUGCGUGGCGAGAGUGCAGGAGGGGCAGGCGGAAUUCCUGGGGUAGCGGUGAAAUGCGUAGAUAUCAGGAGGAACACUGGUGGCGAAGGCGGCCUGCUGGACUGCAACUGACGUUGAGGCCCGAAAGCGUGGGGAGCAAACAGGAUUAGAUACCCGGGUAGUC